rnacentral:rRNA from 1 species
AUUGAACGCUGGCGGCACGCUUAACACAUGCAAGUCGAGCGGUAACAGGAUGUGUAGCAAUACACAUUGCUGACGAGCGGCGGACGGGUGAGUAACACGUAGGAACCUGUCCUUCAGAGGGGGACAACCAAGGGAAACUUUGGCUAAUACCGCAUAUACUCGAGAGAGGAAAGCUGCCCGCAAGGGUGGCACUGAAGGAGGGGCCUGCGUCCGAUUAGCUAGUUGGUGUGGUAAUGGCGCACCAAGGCGAGGAUCGGUAACUGGUCUGAGAGGACGACCAGUCACACUGGGACUGAGACACGGCCCAGACUCCUACGGGAGGCAGCAGUGGGGAAUCUUGGACAACGGGGCAACCCUGAUCCAGCGAUGCCGCGUGGGUGAAGAAGGCCUUCGGGUUGUAAAGCCCUUUAGGAUAGGAAGAAGUACGGUAUUUUAAGAGAUAAUCGUAUUGACGGUACUAUCAGAAUAAGCACCGGCAAACUCUGUGCCAGCCGCCGCCGUAA